rnacentral:misc_RNA from 1 species
CGUCACGCCGACAUCAUCAAUGCGAUCCGCUCGACCGGCGCUGCGGUUCGCCUGAUCACCGACGGCGACGUCGCCGGCGUGAUCCACACCGCCGAUCCGGAGAANNNNNNNNGAUAUCUACAUGGGCACCGGUGGCGCGCCGGAAGGCGUGCUGGCUGCUGCGGCGCUCCGCUGCAUCGGCGGCCAGAUGCAGUGCCGUCUCAUUCUCGNNNCGCGAACGCGCGAUGAAGAUGGGCAUCAAGGACCUCAACAUGGUCUAUGGCAUCGAGGACAUGGCACGCGGCGACUGCCUGUUCGCGGCAACCGGCGUCACCGAUGGUUCGCUGCUCUCUGG